CCUUUGCGCAGAUGCUUCAUUUUUUGAUUAUCUUUCUGAACCAUGUAUGCAGAGUAGAGUUGAUGAGGGAUCUGUGCGAAUAGGCCAAAUCUACCACCUUGGAGGCAUGCAUGUUUGCAAACUGAGACUGUCAAGGGGGAGGUUGAGCACUUGAGAGAGGUGCUGAAUAAAGCUAACAUUGAUCUUGUUCGAAAGGAUGAGCUACAGGAGGGCACUGCUUAAAUUGCAGAGAUUGAGAAAAUGGCCAAU
rnacentral:lncRNA from 1 species